rnacentral:lncRNA from 1 species
CAAAGUUUCACUUCCCUCAGCCGUAUGCCUGCAGGAGCAAGCUAGAGAGGAGUCUCCCAUUUCCAUAAAGUCGGCAUAUAGCCAAGCUCUUCUCACUGGAAGUGAAAGUGGGAGGCUCCCAAGAACGUGGUUUUCCCGUACUAGUUGUUGGUCCGCACUGGUGCUGCUGGGAGCAGGCGGGUGGACUUGACGCCGGCCUGAGCCCCCUUCCAGCCCUCUGUGCCGGGGCUCUCCGGGGACCGGCAAGUCGCGGCAGCCACGGCGUGCCCUGGAGGGGGCGCGCCGGCGGGCCAUCUCCUCAGGACGCCGUUACAGUUCACUUCCAGCACCAGCCCACUCCCUCUUUGAAGCUCAUCCUAAAUGGCCUGCCCAAGGACGUUCAGGUGGUGUUAGAAAAACACUUUGCAUUAUUAACAGGAGAGAGCCUGCCAGACCUGGAGCUACUGCAAGGAAAGGGCAGUACUGUUGGGGGAUCAGUACUGGCUCCUUACCCCUCAGAAAGAUGUAUGUUCUGAUAAUGAUCUCGUUUUAUCUCCUUACUUUCUCUACCUUAUGGCAGCUUGGAUAAGGAACCAGGCUCUGAACAGGUUGGGAAGUGUUCUUGAUGUCAAAGAGAUUUUUCCUCCUUCCAAAAUGUCCCCCAUUUUUCUCCAUUCUCUUAACAGCUUCACACCAAAGCACUGCUUGACUCUAACACAGCUGUUCUGCAAAGCACUUGUGCUUGUAGUCUGGUUUUCUUAAUGGAGUGAUUUUUAUCCAGCCUUGAAAAGAACUUACACUUGGGCAAAUACCAGGUGGGGGAAUUUUCCUCAUGACAGAUGAAGGCUGGAGUGUAUGAUAAUUGGAGAUAAUUACAGGCAUUUUUUAAAGCUAAAUAUAGAGAUGACCCUAAACGCAAAUCUUAUGUGGUGGGCAAAAGAAGGCAAACUCCCCAGUUUCCAUGGUCCAAGCAGAAUGAAGUAGAAAACAGUAAGCCAGGGGCCUAAAUUAUGUUGCUCCUUUUAAAAGUCAAGACCAUAAGAUAGUUUCCACAGGGCUGUCUUAAUAUUUUCUAACUGAUACUGGGCCUAAUUCACCAGAGUUUAUUGAUAUUUCCUGCAGAACUUCUGUAGUGACUGACUACCUAAUUUUUUUUAACCCUGAAUUCUGACUCAAGAAAAUGUCAAGAAUAGUCUCUUUCCAAUAUAGCCAACUACAGUCAUGUUCAAGGAUCAUGUGGUGGGCCCCGUUGUCUUAAAAAUCCUGAGAUUUAAAAACAAACGGUAGGUUAUCUAAUUUGCCCUUGGGGUCUGAACGUUGUAUGGGUCACAUUUCAAGGUCUUAUGAUCAGUCAGAAGAGCUAGACAUGUCAUUAAAAAACAGGAAAUUUUAGCUUCUCGUAUAUUCACAUGACUCCAGGAGCUGAACACCAGGUUGUGUAGACUUCAGAGAGGUGGCACUACAGCAAUCCAUAUUCUCAAGGUAGAAAACUCUUUAAAUUGUGUUUGCAAAGUGCAUAUCACAAUGGUUUCAGGUGACUUCUCUUUUUAUUCCCUCAAAACACUACAAAAUUUGCAAGCACUAAGCAAACUGUGAAAAUGCUUCCAGUUCUACAGAUCUGCAUAAAAGCAUAGUCUUGAAUUAUUAUUUACUCUCACAGCAAUGUUUCUGGGCCAUCUGCACUGUUAGUGAAACUGUACAGUCAAUCGAUGAUAAUAAUAAUUAAUAGGAUUAACCUAUUUGUUAAUUGCUGGGUCAGAGCCCAUAUUUUUCUCCGUGAAAUAGAUUUACUUAGCAGCCACUGACAAGCAGGGAAUUAGCUCAACAACAACUUACACUUAUUAAGUUUGAACAUAUUACGUUGUGGGGUACAAAAUUCUCACUCUGGUUGUCAGCCAGGAAAUCAUUUCAGCAAAUACUCUUUAUAAAGGAGAGGCAGAUGGCUGCAGCCUUAGUAAAUAUUUAUUAAACAAAAGGGCACAGAGGAUAAUUUUAGUGCUGACAAUUUGUUCUGGAUUGUACAAUGCACAGGAAAUAAAGGCAGUCCCUGG